rnacentral:misc_RNA from 1 species
UAGAAGGUGCAGAAAGAUUGAGAGAGUGGACUAAGAAAAAUUAAUCAUAUCUAAUAAUCAUAACAACAAACUCUUUUGAAUCAAUUUAUGCUCCUUCUUUGACUCUAGGUGAUGCUUAAAAAAGUUCUGCUUGAAUAUGAAUUGAAACCAAGAUGAAUUCUUUACCACACCAACUGCAAAUAUCAUGAAAAUGUGUCAUGCUGAGGGGGAUAAAUUGUUGUCAUAUGCUCUAUGUCCUGCUAAAGUUUCUAACUAAUGUAAAUAUCAUCACACAGGAUAUUAUGUUGGCCUUGUAUUUUGAAAACGGCUGAAUUUUAUGCUUUGCAUCCUUGUGUAUCCCAUUGGCCAGCAGGAAAUUAUGGGCUGAAAUUGUUGUAGCUGUUGCAUGGUGCAAACGUAAUGUUCUCUUCAUCUUUUGAGAGACAAGAUUUUUUAAGGCUUAUACGGGGUUCCAUUUUGAGAUUAGGAAUUGGGAUCAGUUUGUUACAAAAUGCAGAACAACUCCUGGAGUAUGCAAAUUAUGGGAAUAGUAAAUAUCAAUUUUAAGAUGGUGUCAACAAAAAAGAGCAAGCUUCGAGACUUCAAUUUUAAGGAUAGUAAAUGUCAUGGAAAGUUGGAGAAGAUUGAGACUUACAAAUCUAGUGAUGGAAUGUGGUGGAUGUUGAUGGAGAUUAGACCAGCUUAAUAUUCAUUCUACAGAUUCGAGUUUAUAAAAUUAUGUAAUUUAGUAUGAAUUUAUUUGCUUCAGUACUUGAUAUAUCAUAACGGUCUUUUGCUGAUUUUGAUGUGUGUUUAUGUACAUGUGUAAGUGUAACUUCAUUUUUAAAUGAGUUCUUGAUUUAGUCAUUAUGUUUAGUGAUUUAAGCCUUCAUUACUCAUUUUGAUGUAAAAUAAUUGUUUUUUAAAUUAAUGGCCUACCUUACUUGAAUGAGCACCUAGCUCCACAGGCAAUAGUGGAUAUGGCACUUUCUUUUGAAACAUGUUGUAUCUCGUUUGGAUGUUAAAGUUGAUGUGAAUCACUACAAUUCAAUAACAGAGUGAGCAAGUAAAGUUAUAGUUGAUUUUUGGCCCCACUGUUGCUUCAUGGAAUCAUGGUCAUGUCAUUGAUGCUUAAAUACCAUCCAAAUUGUGUUUCAUGUAUUUAUUCAAUAAAUUAUUUAGUCACUAUGAACUUUGUGGUAAUUCCUUUUCUAUAUGCAUUUUUAUAACUUUUCAGAGAUAUGAAGUAUAUAGUUCCAAG